CAAUAGCGUAUAUUUAAGUUGUUGCAAUUAAAAAGCUCGUAGUUGGAUUUCGGUUAAGAGCGACCGGUCCGCCGUUUGGUGUGCACUGGUUGGUUUUAACUUCCUGUAGAGGACGUGCUCUGGGUUUAACGACCUGGACUCGGAGUCUACGUGGUUACUUUGAAAAAAUUAGAGUGUUCAAAGCGGGCUUACGCUUGAAUAUUUCAGCAUGGAAUAACACUAUAGGACUCCUGUCCUAUUUCGUUGGUCUCGGGACGGGAGUAAUGAUUAAGAGGAACAGUUGGGGGCAUUCGUAUUUCAUUGUCAGAGGUGAAAUUCUUGGAUUUAUGAAAGACGAACUUCUGCGAAAGCAUUUGCCAAGGAUGUUUUCAUUAA
rnacentral:rRNA from 1 species